rnacentral:rRNA from 1 species
AACGCGAAGAACCUUACCAGCUCUUGACAUGUCCCGUAUGGGACCGAGAGAUCGGUCCCUUCAGUUCGGCUGGCGGGAACACAGGUGCUGCAUGGCUGUCGUCAGCUCGUGUCGUGAGAUGUUGGGUUAAGUCCCGCAACGAGCGCAACCCUCACCUUCAGUUGCCAUCGGGUAAAGCUGGGCACUCUGAAGGAACUGCCGGUGACAAGCCGGAGGAAGGCGGGGAUGACGUCAAGUCCUCAUGGCCUUUAUGGGCUGGGCUACACACGUGCUACAAUGGCGGUGACAGAGGGAGGCUGAGGAGCGAUCCCGCGCCAAUCUCGAAAAGCCGUCUCAGUUCGGAUUGUUCUCUGCAACUCGAGAGCAUGAAGCUGGAAUCGCUAGUAAUCGCGGAUCAGCACGCCGCGGUGAAUACGUUCCCGGGCCUUGUACACACCGUACGUC